rnacentral:lncRNA from 1 species
GUGGCUUCAGGUGUCUCAUCCAUUGGAGAUGCCAAUUAAUAGCCUCUACAAAGGUAUAUGUCUACGCAUCUGACAAUUCUGAUGCCUUUUUCCUUUGUCCUUUCUUCCACAUCAUUUGGGCCAUUCAAGCGGAGGCGAUAUCAUUGAGCAAUGUUACCUUCAAGAUGAUAUUCGAUGGAGGUUCCCCAAAUUAUUGAACUUUCAUGGAGCACCUCUCUCCAGAACCCACUUUAUGAGAAUAUAUUGAGUAUGUUGUUGUCAAGGGAGAGAGAGGUGGUCCAUGGCAACUCAAUAGUUUGG